GAUCCUGGCUCAGAUUGAACGCUGGCGGCAGGCCUAACACAUGCAAGUCGAACGGUAACAGGAAGAAGCUUGCUUCUUUGCUGACGAGUGGCGGACGGGUGAGUAAUGUCUGGGAAACUGACUGAUGGAGGGGGAUAACUACUGGAAACGGUAGCUAAUACCGCAUAACGUCGCAAGACCAAAGAGGGGGGACCUUCGGGCCGUCUUGCCAUCGGAUGUGCCCAGAUGGGAUUAGCUUGUUGGUGGGGUAACGG
rnacentral:rRNA from 1 species